AUUGAACGCUGGCGGCAGGCCUAACACAUGCAAGUCGAGCGGAUCGGCGGACGGGUGAGUAAUGUCUAUGUAUCUGCCUGGUAGUGGGGGCUAAUGUUCGGAAACGGGCGCUAAUUCCGCAUACUAUCAGAUUAGCCUCGGUCGGAUUAGCUAGCUGGUGGGGUAAAGGCCUACCAAGGCGACGAUCCGUAACUGGUCUGAGAGGAUGAUCAGUCACACUGGAACUGAGACACGGUCAAGACUCCUACGGGAGGCAGCAGGGGGGAAUAUUGGACAAUGGGCGAAAGCCUGAUGCAGCCAUGCCGCGUGUGGGAAGAAGGUCUUCGGAUUGUAAAGCACUUUAAGUUGGGAGGCGGUACCAACAGAAUAAGCACCGGCUAACUUCGUGCCAGCAGCCGCGGGAAUUC
rnacentral:rRNA from 1 species